rnacentral:misc_RNA from 1 species
GAAAGAAAUGCUGCCUAUCAGCCUUGGAUUUGGACUGCUGGGAAUCAUGAACUUGAUUUUGCUCCUCAAUUUGGUGAACCUAUCCCCUUUAAGCCUUAUUUGCACAGAUAUCAUGUCCCAUACACUGCAUCUGGAAGCACCUCUCCUCUUUGGUAUUCCAUCAAGAGAGCUUCAGCAUACAUCAUUGUCAUGUCCUCUUACUCAGCAUUUGGGAAAUACACUCCUCAGUACAAAUGGCUAGAACAAGAGCUGCCUAAAGUGAAUAGGACCGAGACACCAUGGCUUAUUGUUCUUAUGCAUUGUCCAAUGUACAACAGUUAUGCACAUCAUUAUAUGGAAGGGGAAACCAUGAGAGUGAUGUAUGAGGCUUGGUUUGUGGAGUACAAAGUUGAUGUCGUCUUCGCUGGUCAUGUUCAUGCCUAUGAACGAUCUGAACGAGUAUCGAAUAUUGCAUACAAUGUCGUAAAUGGAUUGUGCACUCCCAUAGGUGAUCAAUCGGCUCCAAUUUACAUAACCAUUGGAGAUGGAGGAAAUCUAGAAGGACUGGUGACCGAAAUGACAGAACCACAGCCAAGCUACUCAGCUUUCAGGGAAGCUAGCUUUGGACAUGGUCUUCUUGAUAUAAAGAACAGGACUCGUGCCUAUUUCAGUUGGUGGCAUCGCAAUCAAGAUGGCUAAUGGCUACGCCGUGGAAGCUGAUACCGUAUUGUUGAUAAAUAGAUAUUGGAGCUCCUUAGAAGAAUCAAAGGCUACAACAUGAAAAGAUGGCCAUUUUGCACUCUUAGCUCUGAAGAUAAUACUUGCAGGCUGCAGUGAGUUCUCUCCUCGCUCGAUCAUUGUGUUCAAAAUAUAAGAAAAGUUUUAUACAAAAUCGUUUAUAAUAUAUGCAUUCUGUUAUUUAGUUUAAUUAUGACCUGUGAUGUAAUAAAGAUUUAAACUGUGAGAAAGAAUAUCCUUCAUAAACG